GCUGUGGCUCAGUGGUAGAGCAUCUGCUUCACAUGCAGGUGGUCCCAGGUUCAAUCCCCGGCAUCUCCA